CAAUAGCGUAUAUUAAAGUUGUUGCGGUUAAAAAGCUCGUAGUUGGAUUUCUGCUGAGGAUGACCGGUCCGCCCUCCGGGUGAGUAUCUGGCUCAGCCUUGGCAUCUUCCUGAAGAACGUAACUGCACUUGACUGUGUGGUGCGGUAUUUAGGACAUUUACUUUGAGGAAAUUAGAGUGUUUCAAGCAAGCGCACGCCUUGAAUACAUUAGCAUGGAAUAAUAAGAUAGGACCUCGGUUCUAUUUUGUUGGUUUCUAGAGCUGAGGUAAUGAUUGAUAGGGAUAGUUGGGGGCAUUCGUAUUUAACUGUCAGGGGUGAAAUUCUUGGAUUUGUUAAAGACGGACUACUGCGAAAGCAUUUGCCAAGGAUGUUUUCAUUGA
rnacentral:rRNA from 1 species